CCAGUAUCCAGUGCCAAAAAGCACAGCUUAGGAAUGUAGUAGGAACAUAGGAAUUGCCACAACAGUCCAUCUUGUCAGCCUCCUGUCUCUGUCGGCUGCUGGUGCCAGAUGCAAAUUCUUGAAGUAACUACGUAAAAGAAGUUCUCCUAAAAGAAAUACUGAGGCGUGGCAGGAGGGAAGGAAAAUAAGAGUGCCUGGAAAGGAGAGACUGGCAGAAAGGCUUUUUUUUUUUUUUUUUUUUUUUUUCCCUCUCCUUUCAAACAUUACUAUUAUUUUUUCCAGCUAUUUACAGAUUUAUUUCAUAGUACUCAAAGCUGAUUUUCUUUUUUUCCUUCCCUUGCUGAGUAGCCCUCAACUGUGCCACACACAGGCAGCAGCAGUGAAAACGGAGGAGGGAGCUUCUUGCUUUCUGUUUCAGGCGAGGAAGUGAAGGGCUUUAAAAGGUGACAACAAUUUGCCCAAGAUCAUAGGAAGAUGCAGCAGAGCAUUUAACAGAGGCAGCCGUGAGGAUGCCUCGUGGAGCGCCGUGUUGGGAAGCAGUAUAUGCGGAAUAUCCUCACGGCGAGUUCAUCUAGCCUGUCUAAUGGCUAGUUAUUGUUUGAAAUGCUUGCAUGAAAGCACAGCACGGUGUGUGAGCGCUAGAAAAUUCAACGGUACAAGGGAGUUAUUUAGCUUAUGCCCUUGAGAUUAAUCACAGGCUCAGUAACUUACCUCCAGAGCAGUAUCUUUCUGCUGUAAUGUGACUUGCUCAGAUAGCAGCUGAGCAGCCAAGGACUAGGCGGUUUGCAAAAAUCACGAUGUCAAAUAUUUUGGUGUCGAAGCAUUUCGAUGUCGAGUGGAAUCCACAGUUUGCAAUGUGCAGCUUUGCAGCCGAGGAAGCGGCAGUACCCCCUCGCUGCAUUGGCUAAUAGGCUGGAAAGCUGUGUUCGUUAUCGCCCUCGGGAGCCUUGUCUUGGUUCAGCGACAACGAGCCACAAGCCAAACAAGCUCUUGCUCAAACUUCAGGCUGCGGAGGGUCAGGGAUAAAGACAGCUGCCGACACGACUUUGAGUGUACCUCCUUCUCAGGGCAGUCCUCGGGCGGCACAGAGCUGGCUCCAUAAGAACUGUGCUUCCUUCAGCUGUGCAAGAGAGAAAGGGGAGGGAGGUAUCGACCUUUCAUCACUGACCAGCAGAUGCAGGGCUACCCUGGAUUCACUCAAGGUAUUGCAUCAGAG
rnacentral:lncRNA from 1 species